UACGUAGGGUGCGAGCGUUGUCCGGAAUUAUUGGGCGUAAAGAGCUUGUAGGCGGUUUGUCGCGUCUGCUGUGAAAAUCCGGGGCUCAACCCCCGGACUUGCAGUGGGUACGGGCAGACUAGAGUGUGGUAGGGGAGACUGGAAUUCCUGGUGUAGCGGUGAAAUGCGCAGAUAUCAGGAGGAACACCGAUGGCGAAGGCAGGUCUCUGGGC
rnacentral:rRNA from 1 species